AUGCAUCUCUGACAGACCUGGAGCAGUUAAUGUCUGCUGCUAAGGUUUCCACUAUAGAUGCAAAGAAAAGAAGGUCCUCAUGCUUGUUUUCUGUCUGUCUGGUUGUGGCAGCCAAGACUGAAUGGGAGAAUACAGGA
rnacentral:snoRNA from 1 species